rnacentral:rRNA from 1 species
CGCCAGACUCCUACGGGAGGCAGCAGUGAGGAAUAUUGGUCAAUGGGCGGAAGCCUGAACCAGCCAAGUCGCGUGAGGGAAGAAGGCCCUGCGGGUCGCAGACCUCUUUGGACGGGGAGCAAGGCCGCCGACGUGCCGGCGGAAGGAGAGUACCCGUAGAACAAGCAUCGGCUAACUCCGUGCCAGCAGCCGCGGUAAUACGUAGGGGGCAAGCGUUAUCCGGAUUUACUGGGUGUAAAGGGAGCGUAGACGGCAGUGCAAGGCUGGAGGGAAAGGCGGGGGCUCAACCCCCGGACUGCUCUGGAAACUGUACGGCUGGAGUGCAGGAGAGGUAAGGGGAAUUCCUAGUGUAGCGGUGAAAUGCGUAGAUAUUAGGAGGAACACCAGUGGCGAAGGCGGCUUACUGGACUGUAACUGACGUUGAGGCUCGAAAGCGUGGGGAGCAAACAGGAUUAGAUACCCGCGUAC